GGAAUUGACGGGACCGCACAAGCGGUGAUGAUGUGGUUUAAUUCGAUGCAACGCGAAAACCUUACCACCUUUGACAUGUACGGAAUCCUUUAGAGAUAGAGGGUGCUCGAAGAGAGACCGUAACACAGGUGCUGCAUGGCUGUCGUCAGCUCGUGUCGUGAGAUGUUGGGUUAAGUCCCGCAACGAGCGCAACCCUUGUCAUUAGUUGCUACAUUCAGUUGGGCACUCUAAUGAGACUGCCGGUGACAAGCCGGAGGAAGGUGGGGAUGACGUCAAGUCCUCAUGGCCCUUAUAGGUGGGGCUACACACGUCAUACAAUGGCUGGUACAAAGGGUUGCCAACCCGCGAGGGGGAGCCAAUCCCAUAAAGCCAGUCGUAGUCCGGAUCGUAGUCUGCAACUCGACUACGUGAAGUCGGAAUCGCUAGUAAUCGUGGAUCAGAAUGUCACGGUGAAUACGUUCCCGGGUCUU
rnacentral:rRNA from 1 species